UACGUAGGCAGCAAGCGUUGUUCGGAGUUACUGGGCGUAAAGGGUGUGUAGGCGGUCCUGUAAGUUUGGUGUGAAAUCUCCCGGCUCAACUGGGGGGGUGCGCCGAAAACUGCAGGGCUAGAGUGCGGGAUGGGAGAGUGGAAUUCCUGGUGUAGCGGUGAAAUGCGUAGAUAUCAGGAGGAACACCGGUGGU
rnacentral:rRNA from 1 species